rnacentral:rRNA from 1 species
AACGAACGCUGGCGGCAUGCCUAACACAUGCAAGUCGAACGAGACCUUCGGGUCUAGUGGCGCACGGGUGCGUAACGCGUGGGAACCUGCCCUUAGGUUCGGAAUAACUCCACGACAGGGGUGCUAAUACCGGAUAAUGUCUUCGGACCAAAGAUUUAUUGCCUUUGGAUGGGCCCGCGUUGGAUUAGCUAGUUGGUAGGGUAAAAGCCUACCAAGGCGACGAUCCAUAGCUGGUCAGAGAGGAUGAUCAGCCACACUGGGACUGAGACACGGCCCAGACUCCUACGGGAGGCAGCAGUGGGGAAUAUUGGACAAUGGGCGAAAGCCUGAUCCAGCAAUGCCGCGUGAGUGAUGAAGGCCUUAGGGUUGUAAAGCUCUUUUACCCGGGAUGAUAAUGACAGUACCGGGAGAAUAAGCUCCGGCUAACUCCGUG